AAUCAACGCUGGCGGCGUGCCUCAGACAUGCAAGUCGAACGCGAAAUUUCCCUUCGGGGAGAAAGUAGAGUGGCGCACGGGUGAGUAACACGUAGGUAAUUUGCCUUUGGGUGGGGAAUAACUCAGGGAAACUUGAGCUAAUACCGCAUAAUGCAGCGGCUCGACAUCGAGACAGUUGUUAAAGCGGGGGAUCGCAAGACCUCGCGCCUAAAGAGAAGCCUGCGGCAGAUUAGCUAGUUGGUAAGGUAAUGGCUUACCAAGGCGACGAUCUGUAACCGGCCUGAGAGGGCGGUCGGUCACACUGACACUGACAUACGGGUCAGACUCCUACGGGAGGCAGCAGUCGGGAAUUUUGGG
rnacentral:rRNA from 1 species